GUAGCCGUCCCGCAGAGCCACCAUGCCAAAGUAGUUGUCUUCCGCCACGCUGCCGUCCGGGCCGUGGUCAAACGUCACUCGCCGCUCCGCACCGGUCUGGAACGGAACUUGCUUAAUGUGACACAUGGAAGGGACAACAGAUUCAGCAGGGCAUGUCUGCCAUCUCAAGAGGACCCACGUGCUGUAAGGAGCCUGAGGAGAGGCGGGUCACCCUACACUUGGUACCUUCUGAUAUGGGUCCCAACAACUCCUGUGCACUGUUCAUAUUAAAAGAGACACCGACCUGACCAAACUGAUGACGGCCUUCAAUAACAAAGUUGAGAAUUCCUCUCAUGGCCGCCUCGGUGGCCAGGGUCUCUUCAUCCAGGUGAACUAUCC